rnacentral:tRNA from 1 species
AGCAGUGUAGCAUAAUGGUCAAUGCACCAGCCUCAUAAGCUGGAGUAUAUGGGUUCAAGUCCCAUCGCUGCUA